GACGAACCGAGCAAACGUUAUUCGGAAUCACUGGGCUUAAAGGGCGCGUAGGCGGGCAUUCAAGUCCGUGGUGAAAUCCGGCAGCUCAACUGUCGAACUGCCGCGGAUACUGGGUGUCUCGAGGGAGGUAGGGGCGUGCGGAACUAUUGGUGGAGCGGUGAAAUGCGUUGAUAUCAGGAGGAACACCCAUGGCGAAGGCAGCUAACUGGGCAUUAUCUGACGCUGAGGCGCGAAAGCGUGGGUAGCAAACAGG
rnacentral:rRNA from 1 species